GAAUUAGAGGAGUGCUUUUUUUGUCUUCGGUGACCUCUGUGAUUAUAGGGACGGCUUGAGAGGUACACGAGAAGACGAUUUGGCGUGCGGUGGUGCAGCAAGACGUCAUAUAGUGGGGCACCAUCACUACAUAUGGUAGGCGGGUGUUUGUUGGGAUUGACAAUGGGGAAGUGAAAAAAAUGAAGAUAUUAGUGAAGGAGGUGCAACAAAAGCUGAUUCGGCGGCAUCCCAUCGCCGUGCAUCAGAGAUGGUUGGAGGAGAGUAGGACCAGGGCAAAACUAAAAUCCGUUGAGCGAAUGGAGGGGACGAGUGCUAAAUGAAUGGAAGAAGAAGGUAUGCGUAACCACUGUCACUUCACUAACAUUCUCGUAUUUAAAGGUUGAGGGUAAUCUCAACUUGCAUAUUACAUAGCAUCAAGCCAAGCACGUGAAAACGUUUACUUUGCCAUGAUAUUAUUAAAAGAUAAUUGACCUAGUUUAUAAGAAAAAUUAGGAGGAAAAAACUAUGCAACUAGAGGUAGAAUUCCUGUAUAACUUUGGUUAUUCGGACCAUCCCCGUAUGACUUCGGUACACCGACCGUACAACUAGGGAUGCCACAUAAAUACAUCCCCACGCAACUUCGGUUCAUAGACCAUAUAACAAACCAAACGACUUCCUCAGACCUUAGAACAUCUCCAACCCUUGACAUAUUAGUGGAAUCAAUAUUUUAAAUGAUGAACUAUGUAAAAACAUCUCACUAGCGCAUGGCGAAGAGCUAAGCUCGCAUAUCUCCCGAUACUCCCCCAUCUCACAGCACGAGCUCUAAGCUGUCAUGUUGUGGAUGCUCCCUCUUCUC
rnacentral:lncRNA from 1 species